rnacentral:rRNA from 1 species
GAUGAACGCUGGCGGCGUGCCUAAUACAUGCAAGUCGAGCGAACAGAUAAGGAGCUUGCUCCUUUGAAGUUAGCGGCGGACGGGUGAGUAACACAUGGGUAACCUACCUAUAAGAUUGGGAUAACUUCGGGAAACCGGAGCUAAUACCGGAUAACAUUUAGAACCGCAUGGUUCUGAAGUGAAAGAUGGUUUUGCUAUCACUUAUAGAUGGACCCGCGCCGUAUUAGUUAGUUGGUAAGGUAACGGCUUACCAAGGCGACGAUACGUAGCCGACCUGAGAGGGUGAUCGGCCACACUGGAACUGAGACACGGUCCAGACUCCUACGGGAGGCAGCAGUAGGGAAUCUUCCGCAAUGGGCGAAAGCCUGACGGAGCAACGCCGCGUGAGGGAUGAAGGGUUUCGGCUCGUAAAACUCUGUUAUUAGGGAAGAACAAAUGCGUAAGUAACUGUGCACAUCUUGACGGUACCUAAUCAGAAAGCCACGGCUAACUACGUGCCAGCCGCCGCUGUAA